GAUGUCCACCUCGGGCUCCUCCGCCGCCGCCGCCAUGACACCGGGACGGCGCUAUCGCGGGAAGGGGCGGCCCGGCGGCGGCGAUGGGCGGGCACAGAGCGCUGAGGAGCGGCCGGGCGGAGCCGGACAUGGCGCUGAGCAUAGCUGGUGCUCCAGGAAAUAGAGAAUGGGCAGAGUUCCCAUCCUGUGGAGCCUACAGUCGGAAAAAUCCUCUACACACCAAGAGGGCUGGCAGAGGAGCAGUUGAUCCGCGGUGGGAGCCCAGGGAGGGAAGGGUGGUUGAUCAAAGUGGUGCCUCCCAAACAGACUGUCCUGUCUCCAGUGAAGCAGAGGAGAAGUGCAGUUGGUGAGCAGUGUUAAAAACCAGGUCCCAACCAGACCAACCAGAUACUCCUCGAUGUCUGAGUCCUCUCAUGAUCCUGCAGUGAUACUUUUUCAGCACAGAGGCAGAAAUGCAGAUACAGCAUGAGAGGGGCUCCACACGCAGCUGAUGGAUCUUCUGGAAGCAUUACAAGGCCUCUUCCAUCAGUUUUACCCACCUUUUGCCUUGGAGGAGAGGGGGAAUAUUUAAAGGAGCACUUACGAAGUCUGUAAGUUGAAAUCCAUUGACAGUAUCUAUAUCACUUUAUCCAUAGAACCUAUAAGAGCUCCCAAAAUCAGUCCCAACCCUCAAGCUGAGAAAGGCCGGACAUCCCAACCCAAAAAGUAUUUCCAGUGUUGAGUUCCUAUGUGAAACUCAUUUAUCUUUUAGUUCCUGUUCCUAUUGCU